CGUACACUCCUGCGGGAGGCAGCAGUGGGGAAUUUUGGACAAUGGGCGAAAGCCUGAUCCAGCCAUGCCGCGUGCAGGAUGAAGGCCUUCGGGUUGUAAACUGCUUUUGUACGGAACGAAACGGCCUUUUCUAAUAAAGAGGGCUAAUGACGGUACCGUAAGAAUAAGCACCGGCUAACUACGUGCCAGCAGCCGCGGUAAUACGUAGGGUGCAAGCGUUAAUCGGAAUUACUGGGCGUAAAGCGUGCGCAGGCGGUUAUGUAAGACAGUUGUGAAAUCCCCGGGCUCAACCUGGGAACUGCAUCUGUGACUGCAUAGCUAGAGUACGGUAGAGGGGGAUGGAAUUCCGCGUGUAGCAGUGAAAUGCGUAGAUAUGCGGAGGAACACCGAUGGCGAAGGCAAUCCCCUGGACCUGUACUGACGCUCAUGCACGAAAGCGUGGGGAGCAAACAGGAUUAGAUACCCCUGUAGUCCCAUGAU
rnacentral:rRNA from 1 species